CGAAGGAUGCAAGCGUUAUCCGGAUUCAUUGGGUUUAAAGGUGCGUAGGCGGACUGAUAAGUCAGCGGUGAAAUCUCUCAGCUUAACUGAGAAACUGCCAUUGAUACUGUUAGUCUAGAGUAUAGAUGACGUUGGCGGAAUAUGACAUGUAGUGGUGAAAUACUUAGAUAUGUCAUAGAACACCGAUUGCGAAGGCAGCUAACGAAACUAUAACUGACGCUGAGGCACGAAAGUGCGGGGAUCAAACAGGAUUAGAUACCCUGGUAGUCCGCACCGUAAACGAUGAUUACUCGUUGUUGGCGAUAUGACAGUCAGCGACCAAGCGAAAGCGAUAAGUAAUCCACCUGGGGAGUACGCCGGCAACGGUG
rnacentral:rRNA from 1 species